UACGUAGGGGGCAAGCGUUGUCCGGAUUUAUUGGGCGUAAAGAGCGUGUAGGCGGCCUGAAAGGUCAGCUGUGAAAACUCGAGGCUCAACCUCGAGACGUCGGUUGAAACCAUCUGGCUAGAGUCCGGAAGAGGAGUGUGGAAUUCCCGGUGUAGCGGUGAAAUGCGUAGAUAUCAAGAGGAACACCUGAGGUGAAGACGGGUUGCUGGGCUGAUACUGACGCUGAGGCGCGAAAGCUAGGGUAGCAAACGGG
rnacentral:rRNA from 1 species